rnacentral:rRNA from 1 species
UACGGAGGGUGCAAGCGUUGUCCGGAUUUAUUGGGUUUAAAGGGUGCGUAGGCGGUUUAUUAAGUCAGUGGUGAAAGACGGUCGCUCAACGAUUGCAGUGCCAUUGAUACUGGUAGACUUGAGUGAGAUUGAGGUAGCUGGAAUGGAUAGUGUAGCGGUGAAAUGCAUAGAUAUUAUCCAGAACACCAAUUGCGUAGGCAAGUUACUAAG